AGAGAAUAGCAACAAAAAAUUCCUAAAAUAGAGGAAAAUUGAAGAUUCCGCAUACACUCGGAUCUAAGUCGCUUGCAAGGAAGCAACAUGAGUUGGAAGUGAGAGAUGGGCGAUCAUAUAGCAGAGGAGAAAUGUAUGCAGUUUCACAUAAAAAAUCUGACGGGUCUUUUGUCAAUGAAGAUGCAUACCACAAUAAUGAAAAAAUACAAGCUGCAAUUAAGGAUUCUGUGUCUGAAAAUGAGGCAUUUCAGAAAGUAUUUGGAAAAGAACAUCCUGGAUAUGUUCGUAGUAUGGGACUUGGAGUUACGCCAUCUCAAAUUAAUAGAUCUACGAGAUCGGCGUCUUCUUUGGAAGAAAAUGAAAAAAAAUAAAGAAAAUGCAAGAAGAAAUUAAUGCACUUAAAGAAGAAUUCAAAAAUUGAUGAAUUGAUGGAGGCAGUCGCAUUCUUAAAGCAAAGGGAUAAUGCUAUGACAGAGGAAAUUGAACGCUUAAGGCAAAUGCAAAAUUCUAGUGGAAGACAGGUAUAUUAUUUUGAUGCAUUUAAAAUUAAAGCUCAUGAGUAUUAUUUUAAAUAGUAUUAUUUUAAUGCUUUUUUUUUCUUUCUGGGAUUGGAAUCACCCGCUGAUGGUAGACGUUCUUCUGAGUCUAGCUACCGAAUUGCAGAUAAUGAAUCAUCAAGAAGGACAAAUUAGACGUUGCUAUGAAUUAAUUAGAUCAUAAACUUUCCUAUGUAUUUUUCGCACUAUGAAUCUUAUUAUUAUAAGAUUAGGAUUUGAUAUGUUUUUUGGUUUUUUGUAUUACAUGACAUGAUU